CUUCUCAAAUCAAGGUUAUAAAAGCUAAAGUGUAAUGGUUUAAAUUUUUAAAAAAAUAUAAGGAAAUCUAUAUUAUAUUUAUACCCUCAGUAUUGUCAUGACCUGCACUCAUCUGAGUUCAGGGGAAUAAGAAUGAGAGAAGAAUAGACUAAUUAGUGACUGAGAAAGUAGGAAAAUUAGCAGUUGAGAGAGAGAGAGAGAG
rnacentral:misc_RNA from 1 species